GCGAAGGUGGCGGAAUUGGUAGACGCGCUAGCUUCAGGUGUUAGUGUCCUUUCGGACGUGGGGGUUCAAGUCCCCCCCCUCGCACCA
rnacentral:tRNA from 315 species